rnacentral:rRNA from 1 species
UCUGGUGACUAUAGCAAGGAGGUCACACCUGUUCCCAUGCCGAACACAGAAGUUAAGCUCCUUAGCGUCGAUGGUAGUCGAACUUAAAAAGUUAAGUUCGUUCGCU